CUUGUUGCUUCUGCUGCUGGUACUAUACAUCUUCAAAUUUCUGUACUAUGAGGUAGUCAAGGGGUAGUUGUUUUAGCUAAAAUUCUGUUCUAUUAUAUGUUUUAUGUUCUAUCAAAUUCAGCUGGAAUGAAUAUUGGUGAUAUCACAAUUUGGGAAGUAGGUAGGAGGGAGAGGCUUGUUUCUCAAAACUUCAAUGUUUGGGACAUUUGAGCCUGUUCAACGGCCUUGGAAGUUUGACAAAUAUCUGCAGACUGACAUAACUAGUAUAUAACUUUUUAAGUUGGAGAAUAUGCGCUAGGAAAAUUUAUGAGGCUAAUAAUCUCUAUUUCACUAGGUGAUAGGCGUUGUUGGCCAAUAAUUAUGAUUAUAUGUAAACCAUGUGAUGUGGAGUCCUAAUGGUACCGUUUUUGGAAUGUUACUUUGAGGGGAUUUAUUUAUUGGUUUUUUAUUAUUAAAUUACCAUUUGUCCCAAAAGUUUAAAGUAUUAGGAAAGUGUGAAUCCAAUCAUUUGACCAUUGUUCUCCUUCGUGUGGGUUAAACCAUUGUUAUAAAAUUUAUAACUUUCCAUAUCAGGCAUUGUAUAUUCGGAAGACAUAGUGCAGAUAUAUUCCUAUGAUAGUGGUGAUGAUUUGCAGUACCAUCUAUGACGCUAACUGGUUUUUUCAGCCCCUUUUUUUAAUAAUUGUGUAUUUGCCAAGGAAAUUUUUUUUUCUCAGAUCGAUGCUCAUCUCGGUAAGGUUAAUGAUCUCACCUUUUCACAUCAAAACAGAAAACUAUGCAUCAUUACUUUUGGAGAGGACAAGACUGUUAUGGUUUACUUUACUUGGCAUAUUCUUUCGGUAUAAAAACAAUGUUGGACAGCAUUUGUGAAAGUUCAUUUUUGUGCAGGUGUGGAAUGCUGUCACUGGUAAUAAGCUUUACACUUUUGAAGGGCAUAAAGCACCAGCUUACUCCAUGUGCCCUCAUAAUAAGGAAAACCUUCAUGCUAUUCAUAUGUGAGACUAGUAAAGGACAACCAUACCUUGUGGAAUUGGAUGAACGUUAGACAUCUAUCAAGCUUGUAUAUCAUGGUUUUUGGAAGCGGUCUGUGGUGGCUGUGCCAUUUGAUACAAUGAAGAAACCGGUUCCUGGCUACUAGAUAUGCGUUCAAAUUAAAAUUUUGGGACAUGGACAAUGGUUACCUCUUGACAAUUACAGCCACAGAGGGUAGAUAACUGGCUGCUCCUUGCAUUCAAUUUUACAAGGAAGGUAUACUGCUUGCUGUAUCAACAAGUGAAAAUGGAAUCAAAAUACUUGCAAAUGCUGAAGGUGUAUGGCUUCUGCAUUCUAUUGAAAAUCAAGCUGUUGAUACCUCCAGAGUGGAUCCUGCAACUAUCGCAAAGGGACUGGUAAUUAUCUCCUUUGGUGCUUCCUAUUCAACUGCUGGAACAAGCACUUGAUAUUAGUCCAAGUCCACAGAAACACUGAAGUUUUUUAUUUUCCAAAGAAUUUUCUUAUCAAUAUUAUCAGAAGAAUAUUUCAGGAGCUAAAAUUUUUAUUGACGUGUAUGCCUAUGUUCAGUUGACAUGUCUGAAUCUAGAGGAAAAGGUGCCUUCCGUGGAAGAUCUUGCUUAGGCCUAAAGCACGUCUGUUAUGUAAAUGUCUUUUGUUGUGCUUUCUAUCAUACGUUUAUUUUUUUGGUAGUCUAAGAUGUUGUUAGCAAUGGCAUCAAUGUUACAGAUUUCUUAAUCA